GACGUAGGGCGCGAGCGUUGUCCGGAUUUAUUGGGCGUAAAGAGCUCGUAGGCGGCUUGUUGCGUCGACUGUGAAAACCCGCGGCUUAACUGCGGGCUUGCAGUUGAUACGGGCAGGCUAGAGUUCGGUAGGGGAGACUGGAAUUCCUGGUGUAGCGGUGAAAUGCGCAGAUAUCAGGAGGAACACCUGCGGCGAAGGCGGGUUGCUGGGCUGACACUGACGCUGAGGCGCGAAAGCCAGGGGAGCGAACGGG
rnacentral:rRNA from 1 species